CAGAGGUCUCAAGCGUUGUUCGGAUUCAUUGGGCGUAAAGGGUGCGUAGGUGGCUUGUUAAGUUGAAGGUGAAAUCUCGGGGCUCAACUCCGAAACUGCCUUCAAUACUGGCGAGCUCGAGGACUGUAGAGGAGAAUGGAAUUCACGGUGUAGCAGUGAAAUGCGUAGAUAUCGUGAGGAAGACCAGUGGCGAAGGCGAUUCUCUGGGCAGUUCCUGACACUGAGGCACGAAGGCUAGGGGAGCAAACGGGAUUAGAUACCCCGGUAGUCCUAGCAGUAAACGGUGCACGUUUGGUGUGGGGGGAUUCGACCCCCUCCGUGCCGGAGCUAACGCGUUAAACGUGCCGCCUGGGAAGUACGGUCGCAAGAUUA
rnacentral:rRNA from 1 species